UGCUCACUCUCUUCUGUCA
rnacentral:snRNA from 1 species